UCUUGUUUUUCUCUUCUUUUGGUAAAAAUAGAAAACAAAAGAAAAACCUUUCAUAUCUUUUGGAAGAUUCUUCCCCAAAUUCCAGUUGUUGAUGCUCGAAGCUUGGAGAUUUCUUUAAUAACAGUGUGUGUGAGUGUGUCAUUUAUCAGUGUGUGUGUGCCGAGCACGGGUGAGAUUAGUGUCGAGAGAAUAGAGAAUGGGUAUAUAUACUCAGCAGUGUCCUGUACUCAACCUAUCUUCUUUUAUAUCAAUAUAUUGAUCAAAUCGUCUCAGUAGAAAUGUAGAUUCACAAAUCUAACAUGGUAUAAGUCCUGAGACUUUCAAUUCUCAGGGGUAUCGAUCCUUUCUGCUGCUAAAUCUUACAUUCUUUACCAAUUUCUUCUGUUACUGAUGUUCUUCAUCUUCAGUUAGGGUUUAUGAAAGAUUGAUUUCAAGAUUCAAGGAGUUUGUAAGAAGAGUUGCUACUGGUGAUUUCUUAGUGCGAAUUAGGAUUUUGAUCCUGAUGCUUUACUGCUACGUCUUCAAACAGAAUUAAGCAUAAUUCUCAGAUUUGAAAUUUGGUUUAAAUCACCUGAGCUCUUGGGAAUUCGGGUUUACAAUGUCGUUUUUGGUUGAAACUUGAUUCUUCUACCUCAACUUCUUAAAUCAAAUCAAAUUUGGUAAUCUCGAAUCUCAUCUUUUGCUUACUUCAAAUUUGAUUUUGUGCGUCCGGUUUCUACGUCACCAUCUCAACAACAUUCAAUUUUGUCUUCAAAUUCUGUUUUCAUCAUAACUAGGUUUGAAUUUGGCCUAGUUCUUUUAUCAAAUCCUACUAGUAUUGAUUCCUGAAUCUAUUCGAUCUGAGCAUGCCUAUUUCUGCUACAACAGUUAGCUAGAGAGAAGCUUAAUUUUGUUCCAUUGGAUAAUGAAGAGCGAUUCUUCUUAAAUUCAGUAGAAUAUUGGGGUAUGUGUGUGUGUUGAUUGUUUGCUGCACCACUGUGUGCUUAAUAUUUCUUCGGUUAGCCCCUCCUCUCAAUGUUACUUUGAUACAGUCCUCACAGUAGUGGUAUGUGAGUGAGUUGGUUUGUGUGUGUAAUGAUGAAACUGAAGAUGAUGCUCUGGGAUUGAAUUUGGUGAUGGUACUGGUAUACAAGUUGGAGUUCUCUUUGAUGAGUCUGCAUUCAAUUGAGAAUGUGGCCUGCAAUCUUUUAUCUUUACUGUUGUUUUUCCCUUUUCAUUUUAGUGCAUAAUAAUGAGUACUUUCAUAAGGUACUGCAAUAAGUUACUUCAGUUUUUUGGAUUGCUGAAAUCAGUCGAAGUAUUGGUUAUUCAUGAAUAAUUCAAGAGUGAAGAUUGAGAAUGAGACAUCAUACUUCAAAUGGUUGUUGUUUUUUGGAUUUCUGGUUGUUAUAGUCUCAGGCUUUGCUUUUUUGGUCUUUCCAUCUUGUAACAACAUCAACAACCUAGAUUGGCUUGUUUUGCUACAACUUUUGGUGAGGUUCUGAGUUACAAAUGCUGAAGUUUCAUAUGCUCUGCCCCAACAAGAACUCGCAACAGAUGUCAGGAUAUUCCUAUUUGGGUGAUUUUGCUUAUUUGAACUUUGUUGGUGUUAAUCGUACGUUGCCGCCAAGUACUUCAUGGAUUCCUAUCUCUAUUGCAGUUCCUCUCCAGUUAGUGUUUCGUUUAGUAUGUUACUACAGUGAGCAUCUAAUUUGGCAUUUUACAUUGCGAUAAUAUGCCUGGAUAUCUACACCACCAUCAACUAGUGGUUUAUGCGCAAACUUUUUGUUGCAUGUUGUUGCUUACUGUGAUGUGCUUGUGAGUGAAUUGGUGCUGCUGAACUUGAAUAUUCUUCAGUUGUUUUUGCUAGCAAGUAAGUGUGGUUUAUACUCAGAAUACGGUGGUGCAGAAUCUCCCAAUUGUUAUGGUUUGUUCUCCACUUAUCUGCCCCAACUGCUGCUGCCAGUAUACUGGUUUCUCUUUAUAUCAGGUGAUAUACUUUUUGUGUUCUGUUGUUGUUGUAUUGAUCAUGCAAAGUACUGUUGAAGUUCAAGCUCAUACAACAAGUAGUUCACUACACUCAGCCUUGGUUGCAAUUUCCCUACUGUUUGAUCUCCUGCAACAACUCAUAAUGGCCAUAUUACACUUCAAGUCCUGCAAUAACUACUGCUGUUGUUUCUGCAUCAAUACCGCCUCCUCCAACUGAACAUUCUACACCAACUGUAAUUCAUACUUCUCCCUACUGUUCCUCUGUCUAUUAUAGAUAGAGAAUGUGUGUGCUGGUUUGUGUGUGAGUGUGUCAUUUAUUAGUGCAAUCUCAUGUUGUCUUUUACAGACCACUUGAAAUUGAGGGAGGAUAAUAGCAGUGUGUGUGAGUGUGUCAUUUAUUAGUGUGCAGUGUGUGUGCCGAGCACGUGUGAGAUUAGUGUCGAGAGAAUAGAGAAUGAGUAUAUAUACUCAGCAGUGUCCUGUACUCAAUCUAUCUUCUUUUAUAUCAAUAUAUUGAUCAAAUCGUCUCAGUAGAAAUGUAGAUUCACAAAUCUAACAUUCUUUGGUAAUUGAUUUGAGCUUGUCUACAGAUUUCUGGAUUAAGGGUACCGCUCAUUGAGUAUUAUCGAGUCAAGUUAGGGUUAAAGAAGAGUUAGCCAGACUAAAAUUUCUCUCUUUAAAAUUAACUGCCGAGAUAGAUAGAGUUGGAAGCAGAAACAAUAUUGGUUAAAGGGAUGGUGCUUGAUUUCGGUGUAGAAGCUCUAGGAGGUGCUUAAUACAACAAGGAAAUCAGGUCUCUUGACGCCAACCUAACUGCACAUUAAGUGUUUGAGAGAAAGCCUUAAAGAAAAGAAAAGGGUCAUAGUGCCAAGAGAACCCUCAAAGAUGUUUGGUGGUUUGGAGAUAAUAAACUAGCAGGUUCAAGGUUGGUUAAUUUAACAUUCAUUUGAUUUUGGAGUAAGUUCUUUAAUCAUAAUGUCAUAUGGUUCAUGUGAGUCCUUAAUAUAAGCUUAUGCCUGGAAUCUGUUUUGAUGAAGAUGUAAAAUGAGAAUCCCAUCUUAGCUUAUUUUAGUCCGUAGCUAAUGGAAGUCUUAAAUACUAAGUUUGAAAGCAAAACAAUAUAUUGUUUUUCAUUGUAUGAGAUUAAUAAUCUUAGGUGUUGCCUGGAGAUUCAACUAGAUAGGGUUUACUAAUUUGCUUAUGUGGUCAUGUAGUCUUGAACGGAAUGGCACUACAAAGGAUUUUCAUUUUUGAUUUGUU